AUUGAUGCCUUAGUCCACUCCGAGAUAUAAAAAGACUAAUAAUGGAAAAAGAUAUGCUCUUGAACUCCAACAGUAAGUUGAUCAGUUACUAUCGGUAGGGACGGGAGACAAAACUGCCACUGAUGGGAAAGCGAUAAGAAGCCUGAAAGCGAUUCUGACACAAGAUACGAUGACAGGGAGGGAGUUCAAUCAGGAAUGGACAGAAAAAAGGUUGCUAGGCUCCUUUCUUUCUCAUGGGAGGGGUUCGCAUCCAACCCUUAUCGAUACCCCUAGGACAUUUAAGUGAGUCGGGUUUCGAUCCGGUUCCGAAAUGAGGCGGUGUUACCAAUGACUCGAUACCCCGCUGCUACCGAAUGAAGUUCGUCCUUCCCCCCUUUCCCUAUAAUAAGAUGCAGGCCCCCGUAGAUAGAUGCC
rnacentral:lncRNA from 1 species